UGAUGAUCGACCAGAGUGACCUCAGCCUCUCGUGCGCUGCUGUGUGUGCCUGCACCGGAGGAGACGUGACGUCACAUCCGGGUCAUACGAGCGGGACAAAAUAAAAGUUCGAUGUAACGCUUUUAUAUCUGUGAUUUAGAUCCUAAGUCCACACUCCAUAGAGCUGAUUACCACCCGCCAAUACAAACAGAAGAGGAGGAAGAGGAAGAGGAAGAGGAAGAGGAAGGGUCAGAUGUCCGGGGUCAAGUCACUGUCAGGGUGUCGUUCCGUCGCUGGACACUAGAGGUCAGUGUCUGUCUUCUGAAUGACGGCACCCAUUCACUGCAGAGCAUCCAUUGAUGAGACACUGAUGCAGUGCUACAUUUCUACAAACCUGAUGAACAAACACACUCCUCCUGAUGGUGUAUGUGACGUGUGUUGGUGUUUGUGUGAACUCUCUCUCUGUGUGUGUGUGUGUGUGUGUGUGUGUGUCUGUUGAUUCAGAGACGUCUUUAAGAUCUUUGACUCGUUGUAUCAGCAGAUCUUAUGCAUAUUAAUUAAACACAUGCUUGUAGUUCUGUGUCAGUUUCAUUUCUACAAAAGCCAUCGAGUGUUUGAUGAACGUUCUCCUCAG